rnacentral:rRNA from 1 species
UACAGAGGGGGCAAGCGUUGUUCGGAAUUACUGGGCGUAAAGGGCGCGUAGGCGCCUUCUAAGUCGAACGUGAAAUCCCCGGGCUCAACCCGGGAACUGCGUCCGAUACUGGAAGGCUUGAAUCCGGGAGAGGGAUGCGGAAUUCCAGGUGUAGCGGUGAAAUGCGUAGAUAUCUGGAGGAACACCGGUGGCGAAGGCGGCAGUCCUGGACCGGCAUUGACGCUGAGGCGCGAAAGCCAGGGGAGCAAAGCGGG